rnacentral:rRNA from 1 species
CCUACGGGAGUCAGCAGUGGGGAAUUUUGGACAAUGGGCGCAAGCCUGAUCCAGCAAUGCCGCGUGAGUGAAGAAGGCCUUCGGGUUGUAAAGCUCUUUUGUCAGGGAAGAAACGGUGAUUUCUAAUACAGAUUGCUAAUGACGGUACCUGAAGAAUAAGCACCGGCUAACUACGUGCCAGCAGCCGCGGUAAUACGUAGGGUGCAAGCGUUAAUCGGAAUUACUGGGCGUAAAGCGUGCGCAGGCGGUUUUGUAAGUUUGUCGUGAAAUCCCCGGGCUCAACCUGGGAAUGGCGAUGAAGACUGCAAGGCUAGAAUCUGGCAGAGGGGGGUAGAAUUCCACGUGUAGCAGUGAAAUGCGUAGAGAUGUGGAGGAACACCGAUGGCGAAGGCAGCCCCCUGGGUCAAGAUUGACGCUCAUGCACGAAAGCGUGGGGAGCAAACAGGAUUAGAUACCCUAGUAGUCCACGCCCUAAACGAUGUCUACUAGUUGUCGGGUUUUAAUUAACUUGGUAACGCAGCUAACGCGUGAAGUAGACCGCCGUGGGGAGUACGGUCGCAAGUAUUAAAACUUAAGNGAAUUGACCGGNNGAGAGAGCGACGACGACGACGAGGAGGAGG